CCGCUUAAAACUGUCUAAAUUCCGAUUAGGCGUUCUAAGCACUAGGCGUUGCAUCAUACUUAACGUCUUAGUCUGGGCGUGAACUAAAUUCAAGGCCCAAUAGUUUGUUCUUAAUUAGUUAUAUACAUCGACGGUCGUACGGACAGAAAAUACAGAACAGUUGAAAAAUUAAUAUUAUUAUCUCCAUUUUUGUGGAUAUCUAUCUGUAAGAUGUGCUCUUGAUUUGUGAUCAUGCUAUAUAAUUAAUAUAUUCUCUCCUGCAAUAGGUUUUUGGUUUCGGUUUCUGACAUACCAUCUCUGCUGCCUGCAAUUGAUGUCCACAUCGAGCUAUGUAAUCAUUUCUCUUCUUGUGGAGAGGUCACGCUUGUUUCUGUCCACGGGAAUCCACGUCGCCAAUGCAAUGUUGUAAUCAAUAUUUGUGGGAAAAGGAUGUGUAGAGGAGGCGCAGGAACUAAGUGGAAGAGCUGAUAAAUUUCAAAAAAAAAAGUGGAAGAGCUGAUGGAUGGAAUAUAGUAGUUGAUUGUGUUUUGCCAUCAAACCUUAAAGGAAUCCGAACUGGCUAUGGAAAUCCAUGUACUGUACAUAUAUUUGCUCUUGCGUCUUAAUUUUUAUUUUAUUUAUUUUGCCAGUUACUCUUGCAAAAUUAUAACCUCUCAUUGAUUUCCUUGU